AUUGAACGCUGGCGGAAUGCUUUACACAUGCAAGUCGAGCGGCAGCGCGGGGGCAACCUGGCGGCGAGCGGCGAACGGGUGAGUAAUGUAUCGGAACGUGUCCUUGAGUGGGGGAUAGCCCGGUGAAAACCGGAUUAAUACCGCAUACGCAGGAGACUGGAAAGCGGGGGAUCGCAAGACCUCGCGCUCUAGGAGCGGCCGAUAUCCGAUUAGUUUGUUGGUGAGGUAAAGGCUACCAAGGCGAUGAUCGGUAGCUGGUCUGAGAGGAUGAUCAGCCACACUGGGACUGAGACACGGCCCAGACUCCUACGGGAGGCAGCAGUGGGGAAUUUUGGACAAUGGGGGCAACCCUGAUCCAGCCAUUCCGCGUGAGUGAAGAAGGCCU
rnacentral:rRNA from 1 species